GAAGCUGACCAGACAGUCGCCGCUUCGUCGUCGUCCUCUUAGGGGGAGACGGGCGGAGGGGAGGAAAGUCCGGGCUCCAUAGGGCAAGGUGCCAGGUAACGCCUGGGGGGUGUCACAGCCCACGACCAGUGCAACAGAGAGCAAACCGCCGAUGGCCCGCGCAAGUGGGAUCAGGUAAGGGUGAAAGGGUGCGGUAAGAGCGCACCGCGCGGCUGGUAACAGUCCGCGGCACGGUAAACUCCACCCGGAGCAAGGCCAAAUAGGGGUUCAUAAGGUACGGCCCGUACUGAACCCGGGUAGGCUGCUUGAGCCAGUGAGCGAUUGCUGGCCUAGAUGAAUGACUGUCCACGACAGAACCCGGCUUAUCGGUCAGUUUCACCU
rnacentral:RNase_P_RNA from 1 species